rnacentral:rRNA from 1 species
ACGGAGGGUGCGAGCGUUAAUCGGAAUCACUGGGAGUCAAGCGCACGUAGGCGGUGUCGUAAGUCGGAUGUGAACGCCCUCGGCUCAACCGGGGAACUGCAUUCGAUACUGCGACGCUUCAGUGUCGGAGAGGCUGGCGGAAUUCCAGGUAUAGGAGUAAAACCCCUAGAUAUCGGGAGGAACACCAUGAGCGAAGGCAGCCACCUGGCCGGCACCUGACGCUGAGGUGCGAAAGCGUUGGGAUCGAUCAG